CAAUAUCGAUUGCGCAAGCCAAAGGUGUUACUGACAUUGAACGCGAACAGAAGCUUAAUCAAUUUCUUGAUCACCUCCACCGAGCCCGAAAUCAACGAGAAUAUUAUCAAAGUUGGUGUAGAAAUACUGACUCUACAGCAGUCGUUCUGUCAUUUGAUUUUGCCCAAACCGUUCACUACCCUGUCAGUCCACAACAACCUGGUACAGCACACUUCAAAGCAAUCAAGAGGUGCGGAGUCUUCGGAAUUACAGACGAAAAACAAAAAGUUCAGUACAAUUACAUGCUAGACGAAAAAGAUGACGUUGGUAAAGGACCGAACUGUGUUGUGAGCUUCCUGCAUUAUCACCUGUAAACCUACUAUAAAGACAUUAAAACACUCGUUCUUUUCUGUGACAAUUGUGUUGGGCAGAAUAAGAAUAACACUGUGCUAUCAUA